UCUGUUCUUACUCGUGUAGCACGACAAACUUAGCGUCCAUAUUACAUUGGAUCAUAUUACUACAACAUAUUUCGCUAGAAUGCUACUGAAACAACACAUUCAAAGCAGCAAGUGUCAUCCUGUUUGCUGAAGUACGAUCUAAAUUUGUUCCAUAUCCUUGUUUAUAACUACAAACACUUUGUUUUUUUAAAUCAUCUGUUCCAUUUGAAAUGAAUGGUAAUGCCUCUACUCUGUAACGUAAUGUACUUUACAUAACACUUAUCAUACUCUAUAUAACAUACAUUUAUUCAUAUAGCCCUUUAUCACAAUAAAAGAGAUUCACAGGACCUAAUCUGAAAAAUCUCUGCAGGUAAACUGUGGCCUACACAAGAUUCCAUUUCACAUCAUCACUUGAAUUCAUUGGCUACGUUUACAAGGACAACAUUUCUUUCAUCUGAUCAGACUUGAGAUUAAAAUUAUGAUCAGAUGCACCACUUUCAUGGACACUCAGGCACCACACUGAUGGCUGAAACAAAUUAUUUUGAUAUGCGCAGAUUGACCAAAAAUAUCAGGCAUAGUAGUAGUAGUAGAAGAAGCCGUAGCGACUUCCAUGUCAACAAAGGAUCACUCUGUCCACUUCUACUUUGAUAGCAUUAUUUCAUGUAUUUUUCCUAUUUUUCUGCAGUCAGGUCUUUCAACAACUGUAAGAUUUUUUAACAUCUCCAGCAAAGUGUUUGUCUCACCUGCACUGUCUUCUGCUCUCUCUGCUUCUACUAGCUUCCGGCAAUAACAGAAACGCGUAUACUGACGUCACGCCACAAACAUACACGGUAAAGACGGUUUGUUCAGAAAUUUUGGAAUAAGUAUUUUCAUGCAAGAUGAUCAGAUUAUAAAUCGACAUAAACCACCCCUCUCGUUUGGAAUAGAAUCUUGAUCAGAAUGGGCUUGAUCAAGUUAGAAUUAGGGCUGUCAAAAUUAUCGCGUUAACGGGCGUUAAUUAAUUUUUUAAAUUAAUCUCGUUAAAAUAUUUGACGCAAUUAACGCACUUGGCCCAGCUCAGACAGAUUUAAAUGACAGUAGAGUGAAAGGCCCACUUGUUAAUUGUGUUUUGCGGAGUUUUGCUGCCCUCUGCUGGCGCUUGGGUGCGACUGAUUUUAUAGUGUAAGUAAUUAUUGACCUCAACAAUAGCGGGCUACUAGUUUAUUUUUUGAUUGAAAAUUUUACAAAUUUUAUUAAAACGAAAACAUUAAGAGGGGUUUUAAUAUAAAAUUUCUAUAACUUGUACUGACAUUUUUCAUAAAGAACUACAAGUCUUUCUAUCCAUGGAUCACUUUAACAGAAUGUUAAUAAUGUUAAUGCCAUCUUGUUGGUUUAUUGUUAUAAUAAACAAAUACUGUCCUUAUGUACCGCAUGUUGAAUAUAUAUAUCCAUCUUGCGUCUUAUCUUUCCAUUCCAACAAUAAUUUACAGAAAAAUAUGGCAUAUUAUAUAGAUGGUUUGAAUUGCGAUUAAUUGCGAUUAAUUACGAUUAAUUAAUUUUUAAGCUGUAAUUAACUCGAUUAAAAAUUUUAAUCGUUUGACAGCCCUAGUUAGAAUAUUCCAAAUGGGGUGUGUGUCCAUUUCAAUUCAGAUCAGGCUUAAUCCCAAAAAAUGGGUCCAUGUAAACGUAGCCAGUGUUGUGUAUCACCACACACAAAUGUGUCGUUGGUACCUCAGUUGGCCGGGUCCAGCUUCCCAACUCCUGCACCUGUUGAAUGUGCUUGAUCUCGUUGAGAGACGGUUUGGGCACGGUAUGGCCUGCUGUCUCAUUUGUCCAAUUAUCCACCAACUUGUGCAGUUCUGUGAAUGUGCUUUUCCUGGCAGGGCUUUGAUCUGAACAAUAAGUUGAGCCAUUCAGUCAUCUGGGUUCUCUGCUCUGACCAUGUAACCUACUGACACUGCAUAUUUGGGUAAAAAAUACUGUAUAUAAAGUACAAAUAUGAUGUAACUAACAAAACAGAUUCUGCAGCCUCUAGCGGCACAGUACCUCUUUUGGCAGGGAGUGAGGAGCGAUGCUCUAAGCUCCAAUGAGGACGCACACCACUCUGUUCCGCACCUGAAAAGCUGCUCGAUUGCUGGAAUGCUGGAGAAGUAGUAGAAUAAAUAACUACACAGUAAAAACCAGGGGAAAUUGUGACUUUAACGAUUACCUACCGGCGUUUGUGACGCUGUUGUUAUCCAUGUGUGAGUGCGGGCGGGGUCGGAGUUUAAUUUUUGCUGGCCGGGGUCUACGAGGAGAGAGGAGUGGGGGCGUAGCGGGAAGAGCAGGACUCCGAGACAAGCAAGCAGGAAGACUUUGCCUUUGGUCCUUUUGGGAACGUAGUUGUCUGUACAGUUCUUGCAGUUCCCGGUUCUGCUGGGCCUGAAGCGAAACCACUUCUUUGAUGUGCCUAUGUAUUUAAAAUACAGUUCAAUUGGACAUCUAUCUCUGGUAAUGGAAGCAAGUGAUUUAUUGCCUUUGAGAAGACUGUUGUAACUUACUUCUCUCUUAGCUUGUGCAGUUCUUUCCUCAGAUCUUCAUCCUCCAACUCGCUACCAUCAUCAUCAUCGUCGCUGCUGUCUAUGGGUGAAUGACUCUGCCCGUGAGCUCUCGAAAGAUGGGCUAUCGCUAGCGUCCUCUUGCCUUCAUCUUUUUCAACUUCCUUUGUUCGAGAACGUCUCCUCUCCCUGAUAUGAACAGAAGAUACCGGCGAGCUGUCUGUCUGUCCCAACUCGUCCUGGGUAUCAGCCUUUGUAACAGAGAAGCGGCCCACUUUUCUCUGAGCGCUACCAUGACCUGACGACGUAUCGUGAGGCACAGGGGUCACCUGUUGAGAGCAGGUGAGGAAAAGGUUGGGCCAUCUCCUUCACCUCUUUGGACGAUAGACUGCCGGACUGUCCAUCUAAUAACGAGGCUGGGGUGAAAACCAAAAGGGACAACAGGGAGCAAGAGAUACAGGGAGAUUGUCAGCCUCCUGCCCACCACCUCCAGUUGCCGCACCCCCCAGUAACGAUGGGCUCGAGAGACGAGAGACUGUACAAGAAGUUAUAGUGGAGUCCCGUCUCUCUUCAAAUCCCUGCUGCUGUUGCUGGAGUAGUUGUUGCUGCUGCUGUCGUCGCUCCCGUGACUUCUUGAUUUGGUUGACUCUGUCCCGAAUGGAUUUUCCCACCACCUUGGCGUCACUCUCAUGGAAGAAGCCUGACUUCACCUGCGACAGACAAAAAUGGACAUUUAGACUGAUUUAGUCUUACUGUUUCAUGAAACAUCAUCAAAUGUAAGUUAGAACGGCUGUGCUUGUUGCAUUUCCAUUGUAUGUAUUCUUUCAAUGUCUCACCAUUUCGAGAGCCACUUCCUCAGCGCUGUCAUUUUCCAGGUCGUAACUAAACUCGAUAGCCUCGUUAUCUUUGUGUUUGCCCUUCAUUUUUUUGGGCUCCUCAACCCAAAUCCUCAGGGCCAAACAGUCCUGCGUGCCAGUGUCUUCCUCUGCCAACUCAACGCGGACCCCAGUGUCUUCGCCAAAGAAAGCGUGAUUCAGGAGGUCUCGGAUGGAGAGCCUGUGUAGGGAAUGAUGAGGAAGAAAUCACUUCUUUUGGGUUUUAUCAGAAAAGGAAACCUGCUUACCUCUGGCUCUUGUUCUGACGAAUACACCCUUCAAUGAUUUCUUUAAUCUCGGGGUCAUUUACUUUAUCAAAGCUGGCUGGUUUUAUCCCCUGCAGAAUGGCAUAAGAGGAAUAAUAGGUUGGGAACCAAGAAAUGAUUCGACCACACUUAGGUGACGUCAUAUGGACUCACACUUGUGACUUUGCGGUAAAUCUGAGCGGCGUUUUGGCACUCGGAGUAGGGGUAUUCAGAAGUCGCCAUCUCAAGCAUGCACAUUCCAAAGGCGUAAACAUCUACAGACUCAUCAUAAUGCUCCUCAUACAUUUCUGGAGCCAUGAAUUCCGGGGUUCCUGUUCAAGCAGAAAAUGUCAAAACGGCUUAAACACAAAGAAAAAAAAAAGAUAAAUUGUUACUGUUGAAUCAACUUUUUUCGCUUUUAUUAGAUUAUGUCAUCUUGUGACUGAAGGACACUUUUGCCUUAGCGGACACCUAUGUGGCAUUCACAAUGUGCGGACAUUAAAUUUUGGGACAUGACGACCAACACUACCCAAAAUGUGAUGUCCACAUCUGUGGAUGCCAGGUCUUUAUGAAAGAAAGUUUUCGUAAAUUACCCAAAAUAGUCACUUGCCCUAUAAAGGGUUAUGUACUGUAGCAGUGUUCUUCUUUGCAUAACAUAACAUUUAGCGUUCUACAGUAUGUAUAUUGAUGUUGUCAUUUUAUUAAGGCAACAAUAUAUAUUUGCUAUAUUUUAGCCCCUGGCAUUCUGUCCUCAAAAUCUCAUAUGAAUCAGGCUCUAAAAAUGGUUAAUCCUUAUUUGUAGUUAUAUAGAGGAAUGCAGAUGUGGAUAUAUACACAUAAAACAACAGGGGCUAUCACCAAGCUUUUUCAAUGUGCUGCGUCGGCGCUCCUUUGCUUAAAUUGUCCAACCACUACAUUUAUGCUUGUGUAAGUGCUGUGUACAUACAUUUUAGAGACUGUCAAUAGUCAUUUACAGUAUACUCUGCAGGCAUGACAUAUUUAUGGAGCAUAACUGGUGCCGAUGUAGCAACUGCACAUAAUAAUGGUUUUCAAAAUGACACUGUCUCUGUAGCUUACCUAUGACGCUUUUGGCAAAAGAGGUCCUCAUGAGGGUGGCCAGUCCCAGAUCACCUAUUUUUACAGAUCCGGUGGGGCCCGUGAUAAAGAUGUUGUCACAUUUGAGAUCCCUGUGCACGAUGGGAGGAGUCCUGGUAUGCAGGAAAUGAAGGCCCUUCAGGAUUUGACGACACCAGCUCCUCAGAACCUUGGGCUUCAUCACCUUAAAACGCUUCAAGUAUCUAAAAGAAGAAAGAGUCAAGGGUAAUAAUGACGAUAAGUACCAUAACACUUCAAAGGUAAAUUUUUGACAUAUAAAUGUUAACGUUUGGAUAUUUACAGUAUUUCAGAUAACAGUUUUUUGACGAGGUAGAUAAUGCUGCACUAACGUUUUGAGCGUUCCCGACGUCAUGAGUUCAGUAACGAGGACGAUGCACUUCUUGCCACGCAGAACAGAUUCCCAUGAGUCGUAGAAGCGCACAAUGUUGGGAUGCUGGAGCCCCUUUAACAUUUCCGCCUCUUCCUUGAAGCGCUGUUGCUCCGCCUUGGUCAGCUUGCGGUCCUAAGUGGUGGGGACCAUGUGGGAUGAGAUUAUUUGCAGUCGAUAGAUUUGCCGCACUAAAGCCUUGUGUUAACAUUUUGGGAUGAAUGCUAGAACCAAUCUAUGGGCCCUCUGUCCAAACAAGACAUGGAAUACAUAUUCAUGCAUUCAUCUUCAGUAAACUGGAUUAUUGCAAGAGUAUUUAGAGGUCUCAACAAAAAAAUCAGUUGUGAAACUGGACCAUAGUAUACUGGUCGUGAAAUCGUUACUGUGGCUUCUUGUUAUUUAAAGGAUAAACUAUAAAAUCUUACUGCUGGCAAGUGUUGUUUUUGGCAGCCCUUUUAAAUUUUGUCUUAGUCUUUAGGACGUUAAUAUUUAUUAGUCUUAGUCGUAUUUUAGUCUUCUCAAUAUAUGCUUGUCUUCGUCUAGAUUUUUGUUUAUGAAAACUCUAGACUAAUUUCGUCAACUUUUAGUCGACAUUUACUGAAAAUGCUUUUGUCUGUAAAAUUUUAAAAAUUUACUCCAAAAAUAAAUAAAUACAGGUCCCCAACUAUUUCGAAUGAACAUUGACAGACGAGCACAUAUUGCAGUGUCGACAAGGACAACGUCAACUUGGUGAUAAUACACACUCAGCAGGAAAACAGCACAUUAAUCACCUGGACGGCACAAACUGCAUGUAAAAAAAAAAAAAAAGUUGUCUGAGAGUUUAAGACGACAAUCGCUGUUAGCAUUAGCCUAAUGCUAACACAAAUGCUAUGCUAAUGCUACAAAUUACAUUUAGUGUGUGACUAUCACCCAGCACAGACCUUUGAAGUCUAAAGCAGCAUUGCGUAUUCUCUCUGGCCGAGAUUUAAAAUAAAUAAAUAAAUAAAUAAAAUCUUAAUGUGUGUGCAUAUAUGCAAGCCUUCAGACUGGAGCGGACACUGCACUGGUGAGGGGGGGUGCGCAGCACGUCACAUGAGUGACACAACCAGACAUUGCUAUGAUGCAACCUAAGUACAUAUAAAAUGUCACAUUUUGACCUCACUAUGGUCUCGUUAUCGUCAUGAAUGAAGUGUUUGUUGACGAAAUAUUUUUGUUGUCGUCAUCGUUGACAAAAACAACACUGCUGCUGGUUUACAACACUUAAUGGCCUUGGACCAAAAUACAUGCUUGAUUUGUUUCACCCCAUACAAAGCAUCUGGACCACUUAGGUCGUCUGUAACCCGUCUGCUUUGUCUUGUAAGAACAAGAACCACGCAGAGAGAGGCAGUAUUUACUGUAGUUAUUGUGAUCCUCAUCUCUGGAAAAAAAUACCUGAAGUGUGCUCAGUAACAGUAACAGUAAGCUCCUUUAAAUCAAGGCUAAAAAUGCUAUUGUUUAAUACUGCGUAUUCAUGGCUGCACCUAAAGUUCAAGUUCAAUAUCGUAUGACUUUCGCUUUCAUUAAUUUAUUGUUUAUAAUUCUAUUUCCUGUUUUUGUUUUUAACCGUCUUAAUAACUUAAUGUUACUUUUAAGUAUCAUUUGUGUUUUUGUUUCUAUUUCUUAAUUGUGUCUUGCAGAUUUUCAUGUGAUGUAAAGCAUUUUGAUACGGUGGCCGAGAGGUGUCAGGCAAAAUGCAAAGUCCAAACACUUUGCAAAUAGAAAAAAGCACGAACUCCAAUUGCAAACACUUUGCAAAAGAAAAAAAGCACGAAUGCAAACUGCUUGUGUUAAAUUGUACUAUUUGCUUUGUCGUCCUUUGCCUAGAACCAAUUCAAUAUGCUGUAAGUGAAAAUGGAAAAGUCGACACAACCAAGUUUAAUGGGAAAUGUUGCUUAUAUUGUAGAGGUGCACGAUAAUUAUCGGUCAGAUAAUUAUCGGUCCAAUAAUAGGAAUUAUGACAUUAUCCCAAUAAAUCCGAUAACAGUAUGUAUUAUCGGGCCUAUUAAUAAUAUUUUUGGCACGGUGUCGGCUUGGGAUGUGCGCGUUUGUUUCCACUCCUGUUUUGCCAGUAUUGUUUUAUUACUGUUCUAGAGGCCGUAUUUUUCCUUCACUGAGUUAGAAACCUUACUAUGUCAAUUAGCAAAUGUUUUCAUUUUACAGUGUUAUGUUUACAAGUUCCUGAGAGACCUUUUGGUUAUUGAUAGGCUUGCUGUUCUAUAAUUGCCAGGUUAAGAAAGUGGUUUCAUGGACCAUGACGACAAAAGUCUCCUCUCCUGUUGCACCAAAUGUUCUAUCUGCUGACAAAGCACAAUACCUGUUGGGUUUAUGUUUGUUUUAGAUUAGUGCUCAAUGUUCAGGGGAACACAUCGUCAAUGAUAUUGACUGACUGAUUGUGAUUGACUCAAAUUAUAUUUAUUUGAAAAUUAUAUUUAUUUGAAAAAAAAUAAUAUGGGCACUAUAUUUCAAGUCAAAAUUGUUCUUGUCUUUGUUUUGUUCAUUAUAAUAAUGUUCAUGUCAUCAUCUAUGCUGAGUCAACCACUAGUAUUUUUGACCUACAGGUGUUCAAAAACUCAGGUGAAUAUACAUUGAAAAAUUAUAUUAUCAGUUAUCGUAUCGGUAUCGGCCUUGAGGAGCAAGAAGUUAUCGAUAUUGGUUUCAAAAAAUGGAUUUUGUGCACCCCUAUGAUAUUGUGCAUACAUUUAAAAGUUGGGUAGAUUUGUUUCACAUGAAAAAAAAAAUAAAAUCAUAAUAAUAGAAAAAUAUUUAUAGAAAAAAUACAACUUAUAAAUGCCACAUGGUUAAAACACGUUUAAACUGACAUUGUUACAGGGUGUAACAUUUUGUUGUAAUAUUUUAAAUAAAUUAUUAUUUAUGUGACUAUUGUUAUUUCAAACACUGAAUGCAAUUGUUUUUGUCAUCUUCAUAACAACACUGUGAAGCUUUGCCUUGUAAUGUUGCACUGAUAUUGAAGGCCUCUAGAUGCCAGUAGCCACAGAGUGUUCCUUCUGCAGUGCACAGGGAACACCUUGAGUUUUAUUCCAACCCAGUUGUGCUCCAUCUGCCGCACAUGUCCAGCAUGGCUGACAGAGACGAAGCGAAAACAAUCCACUGACAUGGCAGAGCUAAAAUGUUUCCUUUAACUCGUUUGCUGCCAUUGAGGGCGAGAGACGGCACAGGGAAAGAUGUUUCAGUUAUUCAGUACCACUGACGGCAACACAGGUUCAAUCUAUUUGAACAAUGAAUGAUAUAGUUAAAAUUGAUUAGACAGCCAUUGACACCAAUGUCAACCACAUUAAUAAAGACGAGUCGGAUAGACCCGAACUAGCUGUGAAUGUGUGUCGUUUACUUGAAUGAUACAAUUCAAAGGUUAAGCAUUGAGCGUCUCCCCUUUUGCUACAUUUGAUUUUACUAGAGUUGUCCGAUAAUUACUUUUUAACCAAUAACCGAUAUACCGAUGUUGUUCAACUCCAAAAUCCGAUACAGUUAUCAAACGGACUUAACAUAUUAUAGCUAUUUGUAUUGUGAAUCCCCACUGGAUGCUUUAAUUAUGAUAAAACCCAAUUCAAGUUUCCAAAUAAAAUUAACAUUCUGUGAAAAGUAAGAACAUCUUCAACUGAGGUAAUAGGAAAAGGUGCCAAAAUAAUGCCCUCUAUAAAUAAAAUAAAUUGAAAUGAGCCAAAAUGUCUGUAAAUAAAUAGUAGGAAUAACACAAAUAAAUCACGUUGACACUUGUUAUCCCAAAGAGCCACUAGGGGGAAACUAAAACAUUACAAAUACAGGCAGGCAAUCACAGGACAUGCCAAUUCAAUGACAAUUCCCAAGAUGCAUUUUGCUGGGCUUUUGCACAGAUUUUUAAUGAUAAUUACGUGUCUCACUACUUUUCUUGGUUACUAUUUCUUUCUGGUGAGGUAGUUGUUUUUUGUGAUGAGUUUAUAAUUGAUGAUUUUUAAUUUAUUGUUCAUUUUAUUUGUGCACAAUGAGUGAUUAUGGUCUUUCCCUCAUUAACAAAUCUCAACUAUGUUAGGUUUUGUGUUUGGUUUCUCCUUGUGUGACUUGUCCCUGUGAUUACCCAUUGCUCUCACCUGUGUGUGUUUUCCCAGUGUAUCCUGCAAUCUGCAUCCACCUGUGUUACCCAGCUGUUCCUCGCCUCGUUACCCCUUGUCUGCGUUUAUAAUGACCCAGUUCCUUGUCACUCCUUGUUGCGUCAUUGUCUAUGUCAGUGUCAGCGUCUAUGUCUCUCCAAGCCCUCGUGUUCCAAGUAAGUUUUUUGAUACCCAGCCUUUUGUUAGUAACCUGAGUUUUCUUUGCUGCUGUGUUUUUGGAAUCACCUCAGUUUUGGUUUGUACUUUGUUUUUUCUGUCGGCCUUAAUUAAAUCAUUUUUUGCACCGCCCUAUCUGCCUCGCUUUUUGUUUCCCUGCAAUUAGGUCCACACAUCCUGCCUGCCUGCCUGCUCAUUCCUGACAAACUAUCUUAAUUUUGGAGACAUACGGAAGUAAUUCUAAACAGAACUGUUAAGGCGAGUGCUGACCAGCCGAUGCAUAAAGGCCGUAUACAUUAAUUUAUAACCCAGCAAACAUACUGACGCAGAAUUGACACCUAUGGUUUCCAAAGUUAAUUUAAGUGCUUUGAUUGGCUUAAAUUAAUGGAUGACCAAUAUUAUCGAACAACUCUAGAUUUUACCAAAGUCAAUGUUCUCUGAAUGUCAAAUUAAAAAGCCACUGUUCUACUUAGGGGUGUUAAAAAAAUUGAUUCUACGAUAUAUCACGAUAUUACAUCACGCAAUUCUUGUAUCGAUUAAAAUCCACCAGAAUUGAUCCUUACACGUGUGUUUUUGGUGGAAAUAAUCAAUUCCGUGGAUGCACUUCUACUCCCGUCCAGUAGUUAGCAGGGCGGAGCCCUCUAGCGGUUGCUCGGAUUAGUCCUUUUAAUAAUAUAAUAAUAUAAGAAAAAAUGCUAAAACGAAAGCCGUAUGUUGUUCAAACAUAAAACAAAAACCUUUUUACUUGAGUGCUGGAUGAGGUUUCAGGAAUAAAUUGAUAUAAAUGUACUUAUGUCCAUUUUGAUUUGUUUUUUUCUAAAAUUAUAUACGAAUAUCGCAAUAAUAGUUUUCAAGUUUAGUAUCGGGAUUAGAGCUGAAACGAAUACUCGAGCAACUCGAGUAACUCGAGUUUAAAAACUGAUCCGAGUAGUUUUAUUCACCUCGAGUAAUCGUUUAUUUUGACAGCUCUAAGCAUCACGUUUUGCUCGGACUACUUUUAAUGCGGGACAACGCGCUGAUGUCACGUGCGUAGAGGAAGAAGCAAAAAAAAAAACUUACUGCAGCCGACAACCGCUACAAACGACGCCGACGUUGCUAAAUACUAGCCCGCACAUGCUACAUUAGUUGCAGCUAGCGUCUGGUAAGUCUCAUAGAGAUCACAUGUAUGUUGAACUAGAUGCGCAAUGACAGACUAGGCCGCGUCUGGGCAGCGUUAGCAAACAGCCGCCAUCUUAAAGCAGUAGAGCGCUAAGCGCUAAUAAAAAGCGCUAAGCGCUAAUAUAUAAGGUUAACGUUACUGUCACUACUAGCUCAUCUUACGUUAGCCCUGCGGAGGGCUAGGUUUCAAUCAAUUAAAACCACUUUCGAUGCGUGGCUAACGUGUCUUACAUACAGGCUUUAACAUAACAUAGCGUUGUGGAGUGAUAAGGGUGUCAAAUAAAAACUCAAUAAUGCUAACUAUCAAUUUUAGCUCAGUAGUCAUUGCUGGAUAAAACACCAAGUAGCACUAGUCCCUAAUGUGCUCCAAUACAGCCUGUAUCAUACAUUUAUUUUGAACAGUGCAAAAACUCAAAAUCCUAUCAGGACCUUAACUAGAACUUAAAAAUGGCUUGACACAAAUAGAAAUUCAAUUGAAAAACGUGGGGGAAAAUCCUAACUUUUAAGUGAUGUGUGUUAUCAAGCGUAAAGGCAUUUUUAGGUGUGUGUAUAUAUAUAUACAUACUGGACUGUCUCAGGAAAUUAGAAUACACAAUAUUCUAAUUUUUUGAGACAGUCCUGUGUAUAUAUA